AGAUGCCCCAGGAGGAGCAGGGAGAGGCCUUGAGGUUUGAAUUUCAGUCUUCUCUCUUAUGAAGAAUCGGGAAGACAUAAAGAACCAGAAUGCAUCACUCGAAGCAACUGCACUGAAUCCUGGCAGAUAUGUGCUCUGCUUUCCUGAGUAACCCUGGAGAAUUAGCAGCCAUUGCCAGGGCCCCUGAAAAGCUCUUGAGAAGGACCUGCACUAUGUAGACAGGAUUGCAACCUCCUGUGUGCAUGAAGUCCCCUUUGUAAGCUAGGGGUUGCUAAACAAAGCCUUGCUUCAGUGGAAGUCACAUGUAAGCAGUCAUGGCCUUCUACGUGACAAGAGCCUCGUGGACAUCCCAAAGUCGUGGUUUUGGAGCUAAAGAAGAAUCCUCUAAUUACCAGAUCAAAUUCCUGAUUCUGUGCUGUAAAUGGAAGAGAUAUUUUUAUGUUAGGAAGGACCUGGGCUCAAUCAGCAUCAUAAAGUGAUACAGGAUGAGAAAAGAAGAGCUGUGAGCUGAGACAAGUCUUGGGAACCUCUAGAAUGGACUCCCCAGAAUCCUUCUACAUUUGUGCCGGAUUGAAGACUUUCCAUGGCCAAGAGAGUCAG
rnacentral:lncRNA from 1 species